GACCGGCGCACGGGUGAGUAACGCGUAUGCAACCUACCUAUAACAGGGGGAUAACCCGGAGAAAUUCGGACUAAUACCGCAUAAAACAGGGGCUCCGCAUGGAGAUAUUUGUUAAAGAUUUAUCGGUUAUAGAUGGGCAUGCGUUCCAUUAGCCAGUUGGUGAGGUAACGGCUCACCAAAGCAACGAUGGAUAGGGGAACUGAGAGGUUUGUCCCCCACACUGGAACUGAGACACGGACCAG
rnacentral:rRNA from 1 species